CACAGACAGCAGCAGCAUCUGUCAGUGUCUGCUGAUGAAGGUACCACGUCUCUUUGACCUCAUCUGAACGGGACUUUAACAGCGGAGCAGCCUGACAGUUUUCUUUCAGUUUGA